CAGGGUGGGUUUCUUGAACUUGCCCUUCAGGUCGAUCACCUUAAUCUUCAGAUCCUCAAUCUACACCCACGUUAAACAGGACGUAAGAUCAAAAUCCUAACUUAACACAUACAUGCAUAAAUGAUCUUUUUUGUGUGUGUAUUUUUUAAGGUUAUAAUACCUCUUUGUCAGCCUUAUUCACUUUGACCUCCAAGUCAUAUCUCUCCUCAUCAAUCCUGUCGAUGUCCUGGUGCAGUUUCUUGCACAGAUCCUGAAUGGAGAUUUGUAAAGAGUCAGCAUUUCCUGUUUGAUGCAAUGUCCAGCUUUCUAAGCAGUCUAAACAACCCAUAGGCACAUGUACACCACCGUGAAAUAUGGACAACAUCAGCCCUACCAUCCAUCAUUUAAAAAUGAUGUCUCGGAUUUCGGAUAUUCUCGACCUCAAACAUGGAAGUAAACGUCUGAAAUGUCGAGUCGGCCCCGACCUCAGGGAGAUGGAUCAUUUAACGUCAUGCCCAAAAUGCCUCCUAGUGAGAUUACAAUGAGGUCGUUGGAGAGUCCAUCUUUGUGUUAUUAAUAGAGGGAUAAUUUGAUUUCCACCUCUGGGAACAGAAUAUUCUGGCCAUCAAAGAAACUAUUUGGACACUUAAGACAUGUAAGUCAUGAAUUUUUCUAAUGCACAUACUGAUAAAUAAUGUAUACAUUUGUCUAAAAUAUCAUGAUAUAUAUCUAAGAAUUUUGAGAUAAGAUUUUUUUGGAUGUCAUUAGUGUUACUCUUUUUUUAUAGCUGGGAGUGUUAAGAUCUUUACAUAAAAAUACAUUAUACUGAAUAAGUAUGUGAUUGUUACAUCUCUGAUGAAAUAGCACAUGGCUAAUGGCAGCCAUUUUGUUAAAAUAUUCGUUUUUUUCUGUAAAUUGUCAUUGGUGUUACCAUCAUUGGUGUUAUCAUCAUUAGUGUUACUUCUCUAAUGAGUACUUCCUUACUAGCACUAUUG